rnacentral:rRNA from 1 species
GACGAACGCUGGCGGCGUGCCUAAUACAUGCGAGUCGAGCGAACCAAUGGGAGCUUGCUCCCUGAGGUUAGCGGCGGACGGGUGAGUAACACGUGGGUAACCUGCCUGUAAGAUUGGGAUAACUCCGGGAAACCGGAGCUAAUACCGGAUAAUAUUUUGAACCGCAUGGUUCAAAAUUGAAAGACGGCUUCGGCUGUCACUUACAGAUGGACCCGCGGCGCAUUAGCUAGUUGGUGAGGUAACGGCUCACCAAGGCGACGAUGCGUAGCCGACCUGAGAGGGUGAUCGGCCACACUGGGACUGAGACACGGCCCAGACUCCUACGGGAGGCAGCAGUAGGGAAUCUUCCGCAAUGGACGAAAGUCUGACGGAGCAACGCCGCGUGAACGAUGAAGGCCUUCGGGUCGUAAAGUUCUGUUGUUAGGGAAGAACAAGUACCAGAGUAACUGCUGGUACCUUGACGGUACCUAACCAGAAAGCCACGGCUAACUACGUG